GACGAACGCUGGCGGCGUGCCUAAUACAUGCAAGUUGAGCGCUGAAGGUUGGUACUUGUACCAACUGGAUGAGCAGCGAACGGGUGAGUAACGCGUGGGGAAUCUGCCUUUGAGCGGGGGACAACAUUUGGAAACGAAUGCUAAUACCGCAUAAAAACUUUAAACACAAGCUUUAAGUUUGAAAGAUGCAAUUGCAUCACUAAAAGAUGAUCCCGCGUUGUAUUAGCUAGUUGGUGAGGUAAAGGCUCACCAAGGCGAUGAUACAUAGCCGACCUGAGAGGGUGAUCGGCCACAAUUGGACUGAGACACGGCCCAAACUCCUACGGGAGGCAGCAGUAGGGAAUCUUCGGCAAUAGACGAAAGUCUGACCGAGCAACGCCGCGUGAGUGAAGAAGGUUGUCGGAUCGUAAAACUCUGUUGGUAGAGAAGAACGUUGGUGAGAGUGGAAAGCUCAUCAAGUGACGGUAACUACCCAGAAAGGGACGGCUAACUACGUG
rnacentral:rRNA from 1 species